AUUGAACGCUGGCGGCAGGCCUAACACAUGCAAGUCGAGCGCGCGGCGGACGGGUUAGUAAUGUAUGGGGACUGCCCGAUAGAGGGGGUUACCUACUGGAACCGGUGGCUCAUACCGCGUACUGUCGGAUAACCCAUAUGUGAUUCGCUAUUAGGUAAGGUACUGGCUUACCUAGGCGCCUAUCCCUAGCUGGUCUGAGAGGGUGAGCAGGCAGAAGGGGACUGAGACACGGCCCAGACGCCUACGGAGGCAGCAGUGGGGAAUAUUGCACAAUGGGCGCAAGCUUGAUGGAGCCAUGCCGCGUGUAUGAAGAAGUCCCUAGGGUUGUAAAGUACUUUCAGUCGGUAGUCGUUACCGACAGAAGAAGCAACGGCUAACUCCGUGCCAGCAGCCGCGGUAAUUC
rnacentral:rRNA from 1 species